UACAGACCCUGUGAUCCAGACAGCUGA
rnacentral:piRNA from 1 species